AGUCAUGCAUUGAAAGGAAAAGCACUAGUUGUUGUUUCCCUGUAACAGAGAGCUGGUGGUUGGUGCGAACCAGUACAUAAACAAGAGCGAAUUACAGUCCUAGAGCAUCUUUUUCGUAGUAAAGAUAGUAUUGUCUUUAUGAAGGGAAAGACGGUCAGAUGAUCGUUAACAAUGAAGAGAGGUAGACGAAAGAAGUCUACAACUAGGGUGGUACCGCGAUAAAUAUCGUCCCUACU
rnacentral:ncRNA from 1 species